GGCGCGAUGGCCGAGUGGUUAAGGCGACAGAUUAGAAUAUCAUCCUCAUGAAGCAACUCAUCUGUUCCGGUUUCCGGGCGCAGGUUCAAAUCCUGCUCGCGUCG